UCUAAUGUUACAUAGCUCUCCUCUCAACUUACCGCCCCAGGAAAGGAAUUUUCGCCAGAGCGGGCGGGAGCUGAGGAAGUCUGGGCGAUCCACGACGAACCAUCUGAAAUCAUUUUCCCAGGCAGCGGAAUAAACACCUAGCCAGACGUUACGUUGCUUUUCAGAGAGUCUGCCAUGAGUGUGAGCUGACCUGUGGACAAAGCACCUCAACAAGGAACUGAGUGAGUCCUCUGACCAACAACGAGAAACUAAUGACUUCAGUCCAACAUCCUGUGAAGAGUCACAUCCUGUCAGCAACCAGCAGACUUAUAGACAUGACCCAUUCGAACUGCAUGGAGACCAGGCCAUGAUCCCAGAGAUCUCCUCGCUUGUCAGAAGAUAGAAACAUUCAUCCGAAAGCCUUUUAAGCUCAAUGACAGAAGUUCAGAAUUAUUCCUGGCACCUUCUUGGAAGUAUUUCCGAGUAUUACAAAGUAGAGACAUCACGUUGCUGACAAAGGUCCAUCUAGUCAAAGCUAUGGUUUUCCCAGUAGUCAUGUACAGAUGUGAGAGUUGAACCAUAAAGGCUCAGCACCAAAGAAUUGAUGCUUGCAAACUGCA